AGGACGAACGCUGGCGACGUGCUUAACACAUGCAAGUCGAACGGUGAAGCCCUUCGGGGUGGAUCAGUGGCGAACGGGUGAGUAACACGUGAGCAACCUACCUCUGACUCUGGGAUAAGCCCGGGAAACCGGGUCUAAUACCGGAUACGAGCAUCGCAGUCAUCUGCUGGUGCUGGAAAGGAUUCUGGUCAGGGAUGGGCUCGCGGCCUAUCAGCUUGUUGGUGAGGUAAUGGCUCACCAAGGCGACGACGGGUA
rnacentral:rRNA from 1 species